UUAAAAGUUAUUAAGAGCAAUUGGUGGAUGCCUUGGCUCUCAGUGGCGAUGAAGGACGUGAUAAGCUGCGAUAAGCUACGGGUAGGUGCACACAACCUGCGAUCCGUAGAUUUCCGAAUGGGGAAACCCACUAUACUGAAGGUAUAGUACCCGAAAGGGGGCAAACCCGGAGAACUGAAACAUCUAAGUACCCGGAGGAAAAGAAAACAAUAGUGACUUCCUAAGUAGCGGCGAGCGAACGGGAACCAGCCCAAACCUAAAAUGUUUCGGCAUUUUAGGGGUUGUAGGACUGCAACGUGGACUUUAAAUUUAUAGUAGAACAAACUGGAAAGUUUGGCCAUAGAAGGUGAUAGCCCUGUAAGCGAAAUAGAUUUAAUACCUAGCAGUAUCCUGAGUAGCGCGGAACAUGUGAAAUUCUGUGUGAACCAGCCGGAACCAUCCGGUAAGGCUAAGUACAUCUGAGAGACCGAUAGUGAACUAGUACCGUGAGGGAAAGGUGAAAAGCACCUCGAACAGAGGAGUGAAAUAGAUCCUGAAACCAAUUGCUUACAAGCGGUGGGAGCCAAUUUAUUGGUGACCGCGUGCCUUUUGCAUAAUGAGCCUACGAGUUACUCCUCUCUAGCAAGGUUAAGGAAUUAAGUUCCGCAGCCGAAGCGAAAGCAAGUCUGAAUAGGGCGUGUAGUUAGAGGGGGUAGACGCGAAACUUGGUGAUCUACCCAUGAGCAGGUUGAAGCUCCGAUAACACGGAGUGGAGGACCGAACCAAUAUACGUUGAAAAGUGUUUGGAUGACUUGUGGGUAGGGGUGAAAGGCCAAUCAAACUGAGAAAUAGCUCGUACUCCCCGAAAUGCAUUUAGGUGCAGCGUUGAGUUAAGUAUUAUAGAGGUAGAGCUACUGAUUGGGCUAGGGGGCUUCACCGCCUACCAAACCCUGACAAACUCCGAAUGCUAUAAUAUGUUCCUCAGCAGUGAGGGCAUGGGUGCUAAGGUCCAUGUCCGAGAGGGAAAGAACCCAGAUCAUCAGCUAAGGUCCCUAAAUUUACGCUAAGUUGAUUUAACGAGGUCAAAUUGCAUUGACAGCUAGGAUGUUGGCUUGGAAGCAGCCAUUCAUUUAAAGAGUGCGUAACAGCUCACUAGUCGAGCGAUUUGGCAUGGAUAAUAAUCGGGCAUAAGUGUAAUACCGAAGCUAUGAACUCGAAAGAGUGGUAGGGGAGCAUUCCAGUGGCGCAGAAGGUGUACUGUAAAGUAUGCUGGAGCAUCUGGAAAAGAAAAUGUAGGCAUAAGUAACGAUAAGGCGGGAGAGAAACCCGCCCACCGAAAGACUAAGGUUUCCUGAUCAACGCUAAUCGGAUCAGGGUUAGUCGGGGCCUAAGGCGAACCCGAAAGGGGUAGUCGAUGGACAACAGAUUAAUAUUUCUGUACCUGCUAUACAAUAAAAGCGACGGAGACGUGUAAUUGGUGCGCACUGACGGAAUAGUGCGUUGAACUACGUGUGAACGUAGGAUAGUACACAGAAGCUUCGGCUAAUGUGAUAAUCCAAUGAAGCAGCUUCCUAGAAAAGCGAGUAUAGCAGCCCGUACCGCAAACCGACACAGGUAGUCGAGGAGAGAAUCCUAAGGUGCUCGAGUGAUCCGUGGUUAAGGAACUAGGCAAAUUAGCCCUGUAACUUCGGGAAAAAGGGCGCCCUCAGCAAUGAGGGCCGCAGUGAAUAGGUCCAGGCGACUGUUUAUCAAAAACACAUGGCUCUGCAAAAUCGAAAGAUGAAGUAUAGGGCCUGACACCUGCCCGGUGCUGGAAGGUUAAGAGGAGAUGUUAUCUUCGGAGAAGCAUUGAAUUGAAGCCCCAGUAAACGGCGGCCGUAACUAUAACGGUCCUAAGGUAGCGAAAUUCCUUGUCGGGUAAGUUCCGACCUGCACGAAUGGUGUAACGAUCUGGACACUGUCUCAACCACGAGCUCGGUGAAAUUGUAGUCUCGGUGAAGAUGCCGAGUACCCGCUACGGGACGAAAAGACCCCGUGCACCUUUACUAUAGCUUAACAUUGAUAUUGGAUAACUGAUGUGUAGGAUAGGUGGGAGACUUUGAAGCUGCGUCGCUAGGCGCGGUGGAGUCAACGUUGAAAUACCACCCUUUAUUUGUUUGAUAUCUAACCCCGCAAGGGGGACCAUGUUUGGUGGGUAGUUUGACUGGGGUGGUCGCCUCCAAAAGAGUAACGGAGGCUUCUAAAGGUUUCCUCAACACGCUUGGUAACCGUGUGUAGAGUAUAAUGGCAUAAGGAAGCUUGACUGUAAGACCGACAAGUCGAGCAGGUACGAAAGUAGAGCAUAGUGAUCCGGUGGUUCCGCAUGGAAGGGCCAUCGCUCAAAGGAUAAAAGGUACGCCGGGGAUAACAGGCUGAUCACUCCCAAGAGCUCACAUCGACGGAGUGGUUUGGCACCUCGAUGUCGGCUCGUCACAUCCUGGGGCUGAAGAAGGUCCCAAGGGUUGGGCUGUUCGCCCAUUAAAGUGGCACGCGAGCUGGGUUCAGAACGUCGUGAGACAGUUCGGUCUCUAUCUGUAGUGGGCGUUAGAAAUUUGAGAGGACCUGCCUCUAGUACGAGAGGACCGGGGCGGACGCACCUCUAGUGUACCUGUUGUGGCGCCAGCUGCAUCGCAGGGUAGCUACGUGCGGAUGUGAUAAGCGCUGAAAGCAUCUAAGCGCGAAACACACCUCAAGAUGAGAUUUCUUUUAAGGGUCGUUAAAGACGAUGACGUUGAUAGGUUGUAGGUGUAAAGGCAGUAAUGUCAAAGCCGAGCAAUACUAAUUACCCAUAGACUUUAGAUU
rnacentral:rRNA from 1 species